rnacentral:rRNA from 1 species
UACGUAGGGUGCAGGCGUUAAUCGGAAUUACUGGGCGUAAAGCGUGCGCAGGCGGUUCGUUGUGUCGGCGGUGAAAGCCCCGGGCUCAACCUGGGAAUGGCCGUUGAAACUGGCGAACUGGAGUGUGGCAGAGGGGGGUGGAAUUCCUAGUGUAGAGGUGAAAUUCGUAGAUAUUAGGAAGAACACCGGUGGCGAAGGCGGCCCACUGGAUCGGUACUGACGCUGAGGUGCGAAAGCGUGGGGAGCAAACAGG